UACGGAGGGAGCUAGCGUUGUUCGGAAUUACUGGGCGUAAAGCGCACGUAGGCGGCUUUGUAAGUUAGAGGUGAAAGCCCGGGGCUCAACCCCGGAAUUGCCUUUAAGACUGCAUCGCUCGAAUCCGGGAGAGGUGAGUGGAAUUCCGAGUGUAGAGGUGAAAUUCGUAGAUAUUCGGAAGAACACCAGUGGCGAAGGCGGCUCACUGGACCGGCAUUGACGCUGAGGUGCGAAAGCGUGGGGAGCAAACAGG
rnacentral:rRNA from 1 species